GAAAGCGCUUUCAGUAAGCGCUGCCUUAGGGCUUUAGAAAAUGUCGAAACUCCUUCUUGAUUCUCUGUGUCCCGACCUUCAUCUUCUCCAACCACGUUUUCUUCUCCGAUCACGUUUUCCAGCCACAAACUUCCGACCUCCGCCGCCAUUACAGAAACUCCUUCAAUCUCUUUCACUGGUAAGCCCUAAAAACUUCAUCCCUGUCUUCUCUCCCUCUGUGCAACGCCGAUUUCCCACUCGUCUUCUUCUUCUUCAUUUCUUCUGUUUCAAUGGCUUCCGUUUGAAUUCGAGCAUCCUUUCUCACUCUUCUCAGUUCGAAAUCCAUUCUUUUGUGCGUUUCGUCUAUGGUGAUUUCAUGUAUGGUUGCGAAAAUUAGGGCAUCAAUUUCACUUUCCAACUCACAUCAAGUUCACCUUCUAUAGAUUAAACUGUUUACUGCACCCAUACUUCCCCAGAUUAUUCUCUUCCCUGGCAAAAACAGAGACAAUUUACAAGCACCGGAAGGCAAGACUUUGAAUACCUUAAACUGCAAAAUAAUAUGAAUAAAUAUCUCUUAAAUUGAACUAACAGGCCACUCGUUAUGCAGUGCGUUUAUGAUUGGAGACAGGAAAAUAUUAACCAUCGCACAUUGUAUGGAGCACGAUACCCAAAUAUUAUGCUAUAAGCCUUAUACGACAGCAUUAGAAAGAAUCUCAGACAAGUACAGCAUUAGAAAUUUUGUACAAGAGAAAGAAUUCAACAAGACAAGCUUUAAGGAAUUAAACAGAAUAUCAAGAUACAUGAAGUCUCGUUACAACAAGAAGAUCACAUGAAUAGAAGAUCAGAAGUUCUGAUAGAGUAACGCAGUGACAUAGAAAAGCUACAACAACAAAGGCACACGUGGACAAGAAAAGAAAAUACAAUUUCAGCCUACCAAAGUGCAAAAGAUCAGAAUCAAAAGAAAAAAACCGUUACAAACAUCAUCAUUAGCAAAACGGUUGCAACAAAUUAAUGGAACAACUCCCAAGGUUGAUUAAAGAAGCAACCCACAUGCAGCGCGUUGAAAAAGACAAGCUUAGCCAAGGAAACACGCAACCAACUGUCAUCAUCACGCUAAGGAUAAGAUUCUGCCAAGAACAAAACUUGUCAUUCAUGAUUCAAUCGAGACAAAGCAUUCAAAGAAAAUCUUCAAAAAAUCUCAACGGCUAUAUUCCAACGGUAACUCAUCAAGCUAUAUAUAUAGAUCAAACUUCAAGCUUGAAUGUGUGUCCAUUGUACACCAAAAUUGCAUUGAGUGUGCAUCCAAAGUGUGUAUCCAUGGUGCGACUACAGAGUGCAGCAAAAGAGAAAUCUUGAGAGGAAAUCUGUAGAGAGAAGCUGAGCAUCAAAGUAUAAAUGAAGAAAUGUGAGAUCAUGCUUCAGAAUUUACAUUAAGAGGCAACAUACACAAAGUUUGUGAUGAAUCAAUUAUGUUGAAAUACACAUCAGAUGCCUAAGAGAAGAAAAUCUAAAAGAGUGAAAGAGGAAAUCCUACUGUUAAGCAAUAUUCUCCAAUGGAGUUAUAAGAAGUUCACUAAUACCUAAUCAGUCCCUAUAUUGUUCAUAUUGGAUGACAAAAGAAACUGAAUACACUGAGUUGUUGCUCGAAUAGUGUUUCAUGUUUACUUAUGAUCAUUAAAUAUGUUAUCAGCCGUAACAAGCUUCAUGAUCAGUAUUCAAGAAGAAGAUGAAGAACUACAAGAAGCAAUCAACAUAAUAGUUGGUGCUCCAUAUCUGCUCAUGAAGAUGAAAAGAAGAUGGUCUUACAAGAAGUAAUUAAUUUCAAAGAGCUGAAGCUCUCAUCUCCUUAAUCAGACAAGAAAAGACCAAAACUGAAAGAAGCAAUUAAUACAAGAGCUGCUGCUCUUAAUCUGCUUUCAGAAGAAGAUGAAGAUCACUUGAAGAAGCAACCUAAAAUAGAGUUGUUGCUCGAAAUAUGCUUGAAGAAGAAAUGAAGAUAAAAUCAGAAGCAAUCAGCAGUAGAGUUGUUGCUCUAAAUCAGCUUAAGAAGAUUUAAAGACGAAGAUCAGCAUGAAGAAGCACUCAAUAUUCGGAGCUUAUGCUCAUAUUUUGCUUAUCAACAGACAUGCAAAUAUCUCAUCCAGAAGACAAAUCCAAGAAGAAUACAAGAUGUUUUAAGUCUUGUAAUUAAAUGUAAAACACAUAGAGUUGUUGCUCGUAGUGUAUUAUAUUUUAGGAAACUUCUGAUAGGAUGUUUAGGCACCAGAAGUGACUUCUAGUCAGUGUGUUGUAAACAAAUAUACUUAGACAUAGGAGAAAAUCUGCUUAACUAAGAAGCACACUUGUAAUCUCCAGAAGAUUGAUGAACGUUAUAUCCUGAUGGGAUCACUGAACGGUUCAUCAUUUGUAGUUAGUCACGAGCAGUUGGCUUGUGCAGGAUUAGUCACAACAGGUUGUUUGUGCAAGGGUUACUUAGAAUAUUCACGCAGAAUGUCUUCAGAACUGUACUGAGACAAGUCAGAAGUUCUGAUGAUAUAAAGAAGUUAAAAUGAAUAUCUCAUUGGUUAUGCAACUCCAUUCCAAACAUGUUUCCGCAACAUUAAAGCAUAUUAAGAAGAUGAUAUACUAAGAGAAAGAAAAGA